UUCCGGUUGAUCCUGCCGGAGGCCAUUGCUAUCGGGGUCCGAUUUAGCCAUGCUAGUUGUGCGGGUUCAGACCCGCAGCAAAUAGCUCCGUAACACGUGGCCAAACUACCCUACGGAAGAGAAUAACCUCGGGAAACUGAGGCUAACACUCUAUACGGUUCCGACGCUGGAAUGCCCGGAACUGGAAACGUUCCGACGCCGUAGGAUGUGGCUGCGGCCGAUUAGGUAGACGGUGGGGUAACGGCCCACCGUGCCGAUAAUCGGUACGGGUUGUGAGAGCAAGAACCCGGAGACGGAAUCUGAGACAAGAUUCCGGGCCCUACGGGGCGCAGCAGGCGCGAAACCUUUACACUGCACGACAGUGCGAUAAGGGGACCCCGAGUGCGAGGGCAUACAGUCCUCGCUUUUCUGAACGGUAAGGACGUUCAGGAACAAGUGCUGGGCAAGACCGGUGCCAGCCGCCGCGGU
rnacentral:rRNA from 1 species